CUGAACGCUUGGUUGUUGUUAUGUUUGGGAAGAAACAACAAUCCUACAAACAUGACUGCAAGAAAAGGAAAAUCCAUGAACAUGUGCUUCAGAAAUCAGUGUUGCGUCUGUUCCCGCUGCAUCUCUUUCAUCCAGUGGAGACGCCAUGAAACAAACACACCAAGUCACAACAGCAGAGAGCCUGGAAACAUAAUGCUUCAUGUCUGCAUUUAGAGGGGCCUCUCGAUCUCUCUCUUUCUCUCUCUGGCCCCUCAGAAGAAAGUGGAAGGAGGUGCUGCAGGCUCUCUGAUCCCACAGCCUCCUCCUGAGCGGCAGUCAGCCAGCUACAAUAGGGUGUGUGUUGUGUGUGUAUGUGUACGUGUGCAUGCAAAGGAGUAUAAGGGUGCGAUCCACCGCCUCCUGUUGAUAAAAAGUUGAUUUUGUU